CAACGCCGCGUGGAGGAUGAAGACCUUCGGGUCGUAAACUCCUUUCGACCGAGAUGAAUAUCCAUCGGCCUAACACGUCGAUGGAGUGACAGUAUCGAGGGAAGAAGCCCCGGCUAACUCUGUGCCAGCAGCCGCGGUAAUACAGGGGGGGCAAGCGUUGUUCGGAAUUACUGGGCGUAAAGGGUUCGUAGGUGGCCAACUAAGUCAGACGUGAAAUCCCUCAGCUUAACUGGGGAACUGCGUCUGAUACUGGUCGGCUUGAGUGCAGGAGAGGAACGCGGAAUUCCAGGUGUAGCGGUGAAAUGCGUAGAUAUCUGGAGGAACACCGGUGGCGAAGGCGGCGUUCUGGACUGCAACUGACACUGAGGAACGAAAGCCAGGGGAGCAAACGGGAUUAGAUACCCCGGUAGUCCUGGCCCUAAACGAUGAAUGCUUGGUGUAGCGGGUAUCGAUCCCCGCCGUGCCGAAGUUAACGCGUUAAGCAUUCCGCCUGGGGAGUACGGUCGCAAGGCUG
rnacentral:rRNA from 1 species